ACUCCUGCGGGAGGCAGCAGUGGGGAAUAUUGGACACUGGGCGCAAGCCUGAUCCAGCCAUGCCGCGUGAGUGAUGAAGGCCCUAGGGUUGUAAAGCUCUUUCACCGGUGAAGAUAAUGACGGUAACCGGAGAAGAAGCCCCGGCUAACUUCGUGCCAGCAGCCGCGGUAAUACGAAGGGGGCUAGCGUUGUUCGGAUUUACUGGGCGUAAAGCGCACGUAGGCGGACUAUUAAGUCAGGGGUGAAAUCCCGGGGCUCAACCCCGGAACUGCCUUUGAUACUGGUAGUCUUGAGUUCGAGAGAGGUGAGUGGAAUUCCGAGUGUAGAGGUGAAAUUCGUAGAUAUUCGGAGGAACACCAGUGGCGAAGGCGGCUCACUGGCUCGAUACUGACGCUGAGGUGCGAAAGCGUGGGGAGCAAACAGGAUUAGAAACCCGAGUAGUCCCA
rnacentral:rRNA from 1 species